GGGGGGUUGGUGGGGCCGGGGUGGGUGGAUGUUGGGGAGUAUAGAGACAGGGGGCAACUGCUCUCCCUACAUUACAAUGAUUAUGGAGAUCCCUCCGUCAAGGCAGAGAUUGAUCGCCGUGUUGAAGAAGAGAUGCAAGGGCAAUCUAUGAGCCAAGCAUCACAGGCACCAUGUUCGGCGCUGGCUGGUGGUUCUCGAUUGACACUGUCUUUUGCAGUUUUGUCAAAGUCUCCACCCACUGCAGAUUAGCUCUGCACCCCACCCCACAGCACCCACCCAAACACA
rnacentral:misc_RNA from 1 species